rnacentral:rRNA from 1 species
ACGAACGCUGGCGGCGUGCUUAACACAUGCAAGUCGAACGGUGAAGCGCCUUCCUUUUUGGUGGGUGUGGAUGAGUGGCGAACGGGUGAGUAACACGUGAGUAACCUGCCCCCUUCUUCUGGAUAACCGCAUGAAAGUGUGGCUAAUACGGGAUAUUCUGGGUCUGUCGCAUGAUGGGUCUGGGAAAGAUAUUGUUUCGGUGGGGGGUGGGCUCGCGGCCUAUCAGCUUGUUGGUGGGGUGAUGGCCUACCAAGGCGGUGACGGGUAGCCGGCCUGAGAGGGUGGACGGUCACACUGGGACUGCGACACGGCCCAGCCUCCUACGAGAGGCAGCAGUGGGGAAUAUUGCACAAUGGGCGCAAGCCUGAUGCAGCGCCGCCGCGUGAGGGAUGGAGGCCUUCGGGUUGUGAACCUCUUUCGCCAGUGAAGCAGGCCUGCCUCGUUUGUGGGUGGGUUGACGGUAGCUGGAUAAGAAGCGCCGGCUAACUACGUG